rnacentral:rRNA from 1 species
GAAUAUUGCACAAUGGAGGAAACUCUGAUGCAGCGACGCCGCGUGAACGAUGAAGGCUUUCGAGUCGUAAAGUUCUGUCCUAGGGGACGAUAAUGACGGUACCCUAGGAGGAAGCCCCGGCUAACUACGUGCCAGCAGCCGCGGUAAUACGUAGGGGGCAAGCGUUGUCCGGAUUUAUUGGGCGUAAAGGGUUCGCAGGCGGCCUUUUAAGUCAGAUGUGAAAGACUACAGCUCAACUGUGGUAAGCAUUUGAAACUGAAAGGCUUGAGUUAAGGAGAGGAAAGUGGAAUUCCUAGUGUAGCGGUGAAAUGCGUAGAUAUUAGGAGGAAUACCAGUGGCGAAGGCGACUUUCUGGACUUAUACUGACGCUGAGGAACGAAAGCGUGGGGAGCAAACAGG